CCCUUAGAUGUUCUGGGCCGCACGCGCGCUACAAUGAUGAAUUCAACGAGUUUAUAACCUUGGUUGAAAAGCCUGGGUAAUCUUUUGAACUUUCGUCGUGAUGGGGCUAGACCCUUGCAAUUAUUGGUCUCCAACGAGGAAUUCCUAGUAAACGCAAGUCAUCAGCUUGCAUUGAUUACGUCCCUGCCCUUUGUACACACCGCCCGUCGCACCUACCGAUUGAAUGGUCCGGUGAAAUCUUCGGAUUGAGACUUUGAUUUCUUCACGGGAAACGCUGUUUUAAAAAGUUGAUUAAACCUUACCAUUUAGAGGAAGGUGAAGUCGUAACA
rnacentral:rRNA from 1 species